CUUCCAGAGGCAUCAACAUUCCUUGGCGCGGUCAUCUUCCUCCAUCUUCACAGUUACCCACAAGUCACCUCUCUGACCCUGGUUCUCUCGCAUCUUUCUCUGGCCCUUCUGCCUCAUUCCACAUCAAAGGCCCUUGUGAUUAUACUGGGUCCACCUGGAAAAUUCAGACUAAACUCAUUUUAAGGGCAGCUGAGCACAGAGCGAGGAGGAUGUGGUUACUGACCCCUUGGAGCUGCUGGGCAAGAGGAUUGAUUUCCAGAUUCACACUGUCCAUUGCCUUGGCAUCAAGUGGCUAAAGGAAGAUGCAAAGAGGGGCAUUCAGAUAAGGUACCAGCCUGCAUCACAGAACUGCUGGCACAGACUUCGUACUGUGUGACUCCUGGAGGGAGGGAGUCUUCCUCAAGCUUAAAAGAUGAGUUUAUCAUGAAAUGUUAAUCUUCCUGUUUGCCCAAUUGCAAAAUGACCCCCCCUCCCAUUAGAAAAGCCGCAUGUCCCUCUACAUUACUGCACUGUGGUUAGGUGGUACUGAACCUUUAUGUGAUUGAAGCAGUAGAGUCUAAUCUUACUAGAAUGAGCAUCCAGUGAAACUAUAUUAACUAAGUACAAUGUUUUUGUUGGAAAUAAAAGAACUGUACUACAACAUGAUAGAUGCACUGUAUAUGGUUAAACUGAUUAGGUUGCAAGCAUACUGAAAGAUGAAGCAAUAAAGAAAAGGAUACUUUGAAGAACAAAACUAAACCACCUUACAUGGAAAAUUAAUAAUUUUACAGUAUCUAAAUAGAAAAAAUCCUUCUUCCCGUUAGACAUUAUUAGUCAUGUAGUGAUGACAGCAAUGUUAAGACGUGGAGGCAGCAAUCAUGAGCAUUGGUUCUUAGCCAUCCUUUUCUCUAACUGCUGCAUGGGUUGUAAUUUUUUGGCUCAUUGACCCCUCCCCCCACUUUUAAAAUGCGUUCCGAUUCUAAAUUGUAUUUUAUGUUUCCUCAGUUACAGAAUGUAUGAUCUCCCAAUCACUUUAUAUACCAAACCUGUAUGGAAAACUGUGAAUCCCCAAAUUGAAGAGACUGUCCAAUUCACAGCCUUCAGUGCAUCUCAGAAGUUUCUGAAUUAUUUACAGACAAAUGCUCUCAUAGCUGAUUUGUGGGGCCUUCAAGGCCAGACAACUGAGACUUCCUUUUCUCCAUGGUGUCUCUUCCACGCUACAGAAGGCUGUGCUGAGCUGAGGUGCUCUCAGCUGGACCUCAUAGUCACAGGUGAAGGCCACAUCAUGCUAGACACCAAGAAACUUUCCAGUGUGAAGGACACAGGCCUGGUGUGUACCUGUGACAUAAAAACUGGCAUCAGAGAUGACUAG
rnacentral:lncRNA from 1 species